GCCCUCAUAGCUCAGUGGUAGAGCACCUCUUUGGUAAAGAGGAGGUCAUGGGUUCAAGUCCCAUUGGGGGCUCCA
rnacentral:tRNA from 1 species